UGGGGAAUAUUGGACAAUGGGCGAAAGCCUGAUCCAGCCAUGCCGCGUGAGUGACGAAGGCCUUAGGGUUGUAAAACUCUUUCGUCGGGGACGAUAAUGACGGUACCCGAAGAAGAAGCUCCGGCUAACUUCGUGCCAGCAGCCGCGGUAAUACGAAGGGAGCUAGCGUUGUUCGGAAUCACUGGGCGUAAAGCGCACGUAGGCGGAUAGUUAAGUCAGGGGUGAAAUCCUGGGGCUCAACCCCAGAACUGCCUUUGAUACUGGCUGUCUCGAGGUCGAGAGAGGUUGGUGGAAUUCCUAGUGUAGAGGUGAAAUUCGUAGAUAUUAGGAAGAACACCAGUGGCGAAGGCGGCCAACUGGCUCGAUACUGACGCUGGGGUGCGAAAGCGUGGGGAGCAAACAGGAUUAGAUACCCUAGUAGUCCCUGAGCGGGCUGGCAAGGCGCAU
rnacentral:rRNA from 1 species